rnacentral:rRNA from 1 species
CCUACGGGUGGCAGCAGUGGGGAAUAUUGGGCAAUGGAGGCAACUCUGACCCAGCAAUGCCGCGUGAGUGAUGAAGGUAAUUUUAUUGUAAAGCUCUUUUCUUUGGGACGAAUAAAUGACGGUACCAAAGGAAUAAGCCACGGCUAACUACGUGCCAGCAGCCGCGGUAAUACGUAGGGGGCAAGCGUUGUUCGGAAUGACUGGGCGUAAAGGGUGUGGAGGUGGUUUGGAAAGUUAGAUGUGUAAUCCCCAGGUCUUAACUCGGGUGCUGCAUCUAAAAUUGUUUUUCUUGAGUACCGGAGAGGUCAUCGGAAUUCCUUGUGUAGCGGUGAAAUGCGUAGAUAUAAGGAAGAACACCAGUGGCGAAGGCGGAUGACUGGACGGCAACUGACGGUGAGGCGCGAAAGCGUGGGGAGCAAACAGGAUUAGAUACCCUUGUAGUC